rnacentral:rRNA from 1 species
AUACGGAGGGUGCAAGCGUUGUCCGGAAUUAUUGGGUGUAAAGGGUGUGCAGGCGGGGCGGUAAGUCAGGGGUGAAAGUCUACGGCUCAACCGUAGGAUGGCCUUUGAUACUGUCGUCCUUGAGUCCCGGAGAGGCCAUUAGAAUUCGUGGUGUAGCGGUGAAAUGCGUAGAUAUCACGAGGAAUACCGGAAGCGUAGGCGGAUGGCUGGACGGCGACUGACGCUCAGGCACGAAAGCGUGGGGAGCGAACAGGAUUAGAUACCCUGGUAGUCCACGCCGUAAACGAUGGAUACUAGGUGUAGGAGGUAUCGACCCCUUCGGUGCCGGAGUUAACACAAUAAGUAUCCCACCUGGGGAGUACGGCCGCAAGGUUGAA